AGGAUUUAAUGCCCAGUGUAGCUGACGUUGAAACUCAGGUCUGUCUUCAGUGUGAAUCAAUUCAAAUACACUCUGGUGUAUAAUAUCAGAUUGUUGGAAACCCAGGUAGUCUUGGAUGGUAGAUGAGACGUAAAAAACCAGAGCAUCUGCCGUCACAACUAAUACGAAGCCAUUUAAUGCCUGCAGUAAGAGCUCUCCUUCCAGGAUCUGCAUCCCCUCUCCAAGUUUUGCUGUUCUGCUUUCCUGAAUGCCAUUUCUUUCUAGUCUUGUAGAGUUUGAAGAUUUUAAUGCAACAUCAAAAAAACUCUUGGCUCGCAAGUAACUGACGCUGAGCCUAAGCACAGACAACUUAUCCAAUUUGGCGAUAACAUCCUGAGGGAAAGGCAGAAGGCUUGCCAAGCGAUCCAACUCCGCAUUCAAACGGUCCCUGUGCCUCUUGGAUGGGUUGGAUUUGACUCCUUCAGCUGGAGAUGGCUUUACUAUUUUCUGCACAGGUUUCCGCCGCUUGCGACUAGCGUAGGUGACAUUGGGGUUCAUCCUGCCACGGCUCCAGCGCCCCACACCGCCACCGGCCGGGGGCCGCCUCGCUGUCCGCCUCGCCCCGGCUGCCGGGAGGGGGCGAGUCCUAGCGGCGCCGCAGCUCCCGCCUCGCCCGCGGGCCCCGGCCCUGCCGCCCUGCCGCCCGCCCGCAGCAGCGCGCUCGCAGCGGCGGCGCCUCCCCUGGCCCGGCGAGGACGGAGGGAGGCGGAGGCGGCGCGGGGCGGGGAUCCCAGGUGAUCGGCGGCGGCGACACCCACUCGCCGCACGGCGCCUCCGCACGGCACAGGUGUGAGGGCGGCCGGGUCUUCGCAGCGACGCUCAGCCUCGCGUCUUCCCACCGAGUCGAUGCAGACUCCCGGCCGGCUCCGCCGUCUCCUCGCCCGUCUGUUAUCCGAGCGCCUGUCAGUGUGCGCGGCGCCCGGCCGGGCCGGGUCUCCCCGCCCAGCCCAACCCAGCCCCGCUCCUCCCGCUGCCACCACCGCGCUGCCGGGCCGGGCCCGCCCCGCGGCCUGACAGCGCCGCCGCCCCGCGCCGAGGAGGCCCCUUGCGGCGGCCGCGCGGAGGGAGGAGGGGGCGGCCGCGCCGCCAUGUUGGGAAGGUCAGGCGAGGGGACGGCGGCGGAGCGCCGCAGGCAGCGCGGGUUUGAGCCGGGCCGGGUAGAGCUGCGGCACGGCGGGAACACGAGGCCCUCCGCCUUCUGCCGCCCCGAGGCUGAAAAGACGCACGGCGUGCUGCCUCCCGAAGCGGGGUGAGAGCCGGCCCCGGGCAGCAGCCGGGUGGGGGGAGAGGUGGAAGCGGGGCUGCACCGAGCACGAGGACCGCGGGGCACUCCGGGCAACGCUGCGGCUCCCUCAGCUCCGGGGGAGCGGAAGGGACAUUGGACUGGGAUGCGGUCAGUGCCUCGUGAGGGGAUAAGGCCGCGAGUUACAGCGCUGACAUGUGAAACUAAACACUGAUGUUGAAGAAGAGGAGCAACAUAGCAAAAAGCACAAGGUGCUGCCACACUGCCGACAAACAACCGCCGGAGCAGCCCCUUCAUGCCUUUGUGACCCGCUGCUGCUUCGCCCCCCGUUUCCUCUCCCAAGAGCAGAGCUCUUCUCUCGGAAUAACGGCAAUAAAUUUUGUCUCCGCUCUCAGUUUGGGAGAUGGGGAGUCGCCCUGUGUAAACACGGCCGUGCGCGGCGGUGCCUGCGGGAGAGCCUGGCUGAGAGCGCCCGGAGCUGGAAGGGCUCUUCCCGGCACUCCGGAGCUCGCAGCCUCGACUCACGUGCCGCCUGGCAGCCGGGCUGCGGGCUUCAGCCUUCCUUUGCACUCCCUGCUUGGCUGCGAGGAGGCUGAGGCAGUGUCCUUGGUGCUGGCUUGCUCCUGCCUGCCGACGCUCGCCGGGCUGCGGGAGUUCAAGCGGCAGCUACGAGCGCUCGCGCGUUCCCUCUCUGGCUGUUGAAACCAAUGCUGUGGUUAUGCAAGUGUUCCGGCUCUGCUUUGCUGACAGAGUUUGUCAGCCGUGGCCCAGGUAUUGCCAUACGGCAGCCGGUGAGAAACAGCGCCGGGAUUGUGCAAGGCCUGGCUGCUCAGCUCCGACGUCCCGUGCGUCCGGCAGUGGCGUGGGCCUCGUCCUCAGAAGCGCACAGCGUGAAUUAGACAGCAUAACACACGCUUGUUUACCAGCUUAAUUGCUCGAGUUUAAUUGCCUGGGAAGCUAUCCCAGAUGCAGAGUGCGCUGAAGCCACAGUAUUCAGAUAAAAAUUAAUUUAAAUAAAUCUUAAAAAUGCUAGCGUGCUUGCUGGUAAGCCAGGAGUUGAUCGAAUGAUGUUUUGAAAAAUAGAUCUUCAACAAAUAAAAUUUGCCAAAAUCCACAGAGGAAAAAAAGUACUGAAAGAACGGUAUGUGUUACACAUUGCAGUCACAUUCCUACCACAUUCUAGGCCAAGCACCUUUGCAGAGGACGUCAGCUCCUCACUGCUAUCUUUCUGCAGUCCCUUUCCUCUUCAUGGUCUCUCCUCACCAGAUCUUGCAAGCACACUGGGAAAACAAAGGGCAAUUACAUGCCACAUUUUCCUGCCUUCUCUUCUCCAGCUCCUUUUGAUUUUAGAACUGGAAUAAAAAAUUGAUGCCUUCUAUACUCUCCAAACCAAUCCAAACUCCCAGUUUCUUCCAGCUUAAACUGCCCGGUCCCUUUCACUACUCGUCUCACCCCUAACCUCUUCCUGCUCAUUGGCUCCUUCCUCUGUCAGCACAAGUGUGCUGUGAUCACUCCAUGCACAAUGCAAAUUGCUGCUCUGCUUUCAUUCUUCUCUUCAUCUACAUUACCUUUGCGUUGAAAGCUUACAGCUAUUGUUUAAAGCUCUUCUUCCAAUUUUUGAUUGUUUCCAGUCUGUCUUUUACUACUUCACUAAGACUGCAUAAAAUCUCCAGCAACUUGUUAUACUUCACUGGACUUCAAGGUCUUAGCUGUUUCUUGACUUUCUUUGCUGCUUAAAUACUGUCAGACACCCAUACAUCACUGCAUAGGAUGGUUGAGCUUGGCAGGGACCUCUGGAGAUCACUUUGUCCCACCCCUGUGUUCCUUCAGGGCCACUCAGAACAGGCUGCCCAGGCUCACAUCUAGGUGGCUUUUGGAGAUCCCCACAGACACUCCACAACCUCUUCGGGCAGCUUGUGUAGUACAUAUGUUGUCUAGGAGGUUGUACAGGAGGUUACAUGAAGAAGGAAAUUGGCUUUAGCCUCCCAUGAUAAAUAUUAUCUCCCCACUCCUUUCUGAGGCCAUGGAAGCCUGCGUGGCGCCAGCAGAGUUCUCUGCUUGCUCCUUAGCUCGAGGAUUUGGAAACAGAGAGAAGCAAAAACCAUCACUACUACGCAGAAAUCAUGUCUUCUGUACACCUAUACAGUGUAAUCUUUUUCACUGCAGGCUAUUGGAAAUCAACUCCUAUGGGUCAAACACCUUUUUAACAACAGACAGGAGGUGUCAGAUGUUCAGAAUUUAUCUUAAAAACCUUCACACCAUGUUAUCUAUAGCUUUUGCAAAUCCAGUUUCUCCUGGUGUUCUUGCUGUAUCUUUACCUAGUCC
rnacentral:lncRNA from 1 species